GUGAGUGAGCCGCCUCCUUUAUGGGAGAUUCCACCUGACUGUGACCUGCUGACCUGUGAUGUCAUCAAAGGGGGACUGGUUAAAGAGCCGAGAGAGAGACAUUCGGCAUCGGAAUUACUGCAAAAGACUGUGAAAGCACUCAGAACAGUAUGUGGGCUCUCUGGUCCUGAGGAAUCAGCUAAACAGCUUUCAGCAUCUGCAUUCGAGGAAUGUCUGAAUGUGGACUUGCACAAGACACCAUCCAUCACAGAAAUUCCUGGCUUCCCAAAAGACCUCUCAGCAACCACAAUCCACUGGGUGAGCACAUGGAGACAGAUGAAGACACAUCGCAGAUCAAUGAUGUGACAGAUCAAACAGAGGUGGAAGAAAGCAAAACUGAUCAUUUAAUCAAAAAAAAAGUUGUGUUUAGGGGAUGAGGUGAAUAUGACAGAAGUUUUUUAGAGGAAUCAGAUAGCUGGGAUGGAGAAAUCCGAAGCAUUGUGGAUGAUGAAGAGGUGGAGAGUGAUUUGGAGAGUCUUCGAGAGCUUGGCAGCGACUGGGCGCAGGAGUGGGAGCCGUUUCUAAAGCUCCAGACACUUUAUUGUCCAAAAGAAGCUCAACUGCAGAGCCAAGACAGCUGUUCGGAGUCUGAAGAGGAGUCGGUCAUGCUGAGGGAGAGUGAACAAAAAGGAACAAGUUUACCUGAUUCUCAUGGACUGCAACCUUUCACUUGCACCAUCCGCUGUGAUUCUGAGCAAGGUCUUAGUGCUGAGGACUCUGAUGAUUUAAGCUCGGGGGUCUUUUCCUCCUGUAGUACCUCAGAUGGUCAAAGUUUCAAUGUGGAUUGGUCAGUGAACACUGAUCAGACGCCGUCUUGCUACUUUGAAGGAAAGUUUCAUCAUUUCAGGUGCUUAUGUAUGUGUUUGUGAGUAUUUAUUUGUGUAUGUGUGGAGGACUUGGCGUGGAUAUAUGAGUUGAAGAUGUAAGCGGAGAGAGUUUAAAAAUCAGAGAGAGGCCACAGGUGAAAAUCGGACACAUAGCUGUGAGAAUCAGCGAACAGAUAUCUUUGAAGACCUUCAGUUUGGCCACCCUAGACGGGCGUCUGGUGUCUCCGGAAACAGAAGUGUUCGAGUCAGGCAUGUGGUUGCAGUGUGUUCCCGCUCCUGACGGCAGUCCCAGCUGGGAUUGGAGGAUCAGAGACGGAAAACUGGAGCUGCAAGAAUAUGAUGAACAUACAGAUACCUGCUCAACUGUGGCGCUCUAGCAAAAGUGACCAUUGCAAAACAAAAAGAACUGAGCUUUAUGCAUCCCAUUCCAUUAUUUUCAAGCUUUAUGACGUUCACUUCAUUCAUUUGUGUAGUAACUUGUUUUUGAUUGAAUUUAAACAUUUUCAAAAUUCUCUCAGUUUUUUUAAGCUUAAUCAUAAUGUUUAAAAUUCUACGGUUUACUUUGUACACUGUUGAUAGUUUUGUUAAGAAGACAACACUGUUUAGCUUCAGUGCUAUACAUAAU